UUAUGUACAUUACUACAAUGCAUCGGAUCCCAUUAGAACUAUGUAGUUAAGUGCACUCAGGAUAGAGUAGUACUGGGAUGGGUGACCACCCAAGAAGUCCUUAUGUUUUACAUGCC
rfam:Picea glauca, whole genome shotgun sequence.